UACGUAGGGUGCAAGCGUUGUCCGGAAUUAUUGGGCGUAAAGAGCUCGUAGGCGGUCUGUCGCGUCGGCUGUGAAAACCCGCGGCUCAACCUCGGGCCUGCAGUCGAUACGGGCAGACUAGAGUGCGGUAGGGGAGACUGGAAUUCCUGGUGUAGCGGUGAAAUGCGCAGAUAUCAGGAGGAACACCGGUGGCGAAGGCGGGUCUCUGGGCCGUAACUGACGCUGAGGAGCGAAAGCGUGGGGAGCAAACAGG
rnacentral:rRNA from 1 species